rnacentral:rRNA from 1 species
CUGCAACCCGACUCCAUGAAGCUGGAUUCGCUAGUAAUCGCGCAUCAGCCACGGCGCGGUGAAUACGUUCCCGGGCCUUGUACACACCGCCCGUCAAGCCAUGGAAGCCGGGAGUGCCUGAAGUACGCGACCGCAAGGAGCGUCCUAAGGUAAAACCGGUGACUGGGGCUAAGUCGUAACAAGGUAAC